UACGGGGGGGCAAGCGUUGUUCGGAAUUACUGGGCGUAAAGGCUCGUAGGUGGCCAACUAAGUCAUACGUGAAAUCCCUCGGCUUAACCGGGGAACUGCGUCUGAUACUGGAUGGCUUGAGUUCGGGAGAGGUGAGUGGAACUGCGAGUGUAGAGGUGAAAUUCGUAGAUAUUCGCAAGAACACCAGUGGCGAAGGCGGCUCACUGGCCCGAUACGUGACGCUG
rnacentral:rRNA from 1 species